rnacentral:lncRNA from 1 species
AGUGAGGUGACCAAAAUUUACUAUGAAUACCUGGUAUUGACCCUUUUGAAAACAUCAAUGUGUUCAAGAUCUUCUCGACAUUGUUCAGCAAUGGCACGAAACCAAGCUUCUUGAUCCAUAGUAAGCAAAUGAGCAAAGAAGACAAGUUGCGAAGGAGGAGACGAGAAUCAAAGGAGGGUUGCUGCAAAGAAGAUGCAACAGUGCCUCUAUGAAAAUGAUAAAUUUAAGAAAGGUGGGAAUCCCUAUAGAUACAAUUAUUUGAAGAGUUAGAAUAUCAGCAUUUCGAUUUGGUUGGUAUAUCCCAUCGCCUUAUCUGACUGAUGGCUGAUGGGAUGUGGGGGAUAUUGUCUACACC